rnacentral:lncRNA from 1 species
AAGAUUUUUUUGCAACAAUGGUCGAGUUUCAGGAAUUUUUACAACGAAAGUCACGUUGCAGCCGGGAUCUAUGCUCAACGGAGAGUCGGGCGCACGAGCAGGGACGCAUCUGCAGCGAGGCAGAGAAGCUCCCCGGCGGUGGGAGCUCGCCAGCGUCCGUGCCGCACACCUACUCGUUCGCCGCGCGAGGUGGGGAUCCGGCGAUCCGACGAGGUGGGGAUCCGGCGAGGGGCUGGAUCUCGUCAGCGAGGUGGGGA